GACGAACGCUGGCGGCGUGCCUAAUACAUGCAAGUUGAGCGCUGAAGGUUGGUACUUGUACCAACUGGAUGAGCAGCGAACGGGUGAGUAACGCGUGGGGAAUCUGCCUUUGAGCGGGGGACAACAUUUGGAAACGAAUGCUAAUACCGCAUAAAAACUUUAAACACAAGUUUUAAGUUUGAAAGAUGCAAUUGCAUCACUCAAAGAUGAUCCCGCGUUGUAUUAGCUAGUUGGUGAGGUAAAGGCUCACCAAGGCGAUGAUACAUAGCCGACCUGAGAGGGUGAUCGGCCACAUUGGGACUGAGACACGGCCCAAACUCCUACGGGAGGCAGCAGGAGGGAAUCUUCGGCAAUGGACGAAAGGCUGACCGAGCAACGCCGCGUGAGUGAAGAAGGUUUUCGGAUCGUAAAACUCUGUUGGUAGAGAAGAACGUUGGUGAGAGUGGAAAGCUCAUCAAGUGACGGUAACUACCCAGAAAGGGACGGCUAACUACGUG
rnacentral:rRNA from 1 species